rnacentral:rRNA from 1 species
AGCAGCCGCGGUAAUUCCAGCUCCAAUAGCGUAUAUUAAAGUUGUUGCAGUUAAAAAGCUCGUAGUUGAAUUUCGGGAUCAAUAUGUUGGUCGUGCCUUGGUACGUACUAAUUUAUUGGUUUCUUCCUUCUGACGAACCAUGAUGUCAUUAAUUUGGUGUUAUGGGGAAUCAGGACUGUUACUUUGAAAAAAUUAGAGUGUUUAAAGCAGGCUCACGCUUGAAUACAUUAGCAUGGAAUAAUGAAAUAGGACGUUUGAUUCUAUUUUGUUGGUUUCUAGGAUCGACGUAAUGAUUAAUAGGGAUAGUUGGGGGCAUUAGUAUUCAAUUGUCAGAGGUGAAAUUCUUGGAUUUAUUGAAGACUAACUACUGCGUAAAGCAUUUGCCAAGGAUGUUUUCAUUAAUCAAGAACGAAAGUUAGGGGAUCGGAAGACGAUCGAGAUACCGUCGUAGUCUUAACCAUAAACCUAUA